rnacentral:tRNA from 1 species
GGGAAUGUGGCUUAGUGGUAGAGUGCUUGCCUAGUAUGCAUGAUGCCCUGGGUUCAAUUCCUCAGCACCA